AUGGAUGGCGCUGGAAGUAACUGCGAGUGAAGAGGGACAAGCCCAGCACCGAAUCCCUCGGCAUCAGCUGACGGGAAGUGUGGUGUUCAGUGUGGGUUACGCCUGGCUGAAACUUCACCCAAGUCCUAUUGACCGAGGCUCGAUGGCCCAAAGUGGGUGUCAGGCCUUUAGUGGCGAAGGCUCGGUUAGGAUAAUUCACACGAAGAGUCGGGUUGUUUGUGAGUACAACCCAAAUCAGGUGGUAAACUCCAUCUAAGGCUAAAUAUCAGUACGAGUCCGAUAGCAAACAAGUACCGUGAGGGAAAGUUGAAAAGAACUCUGAAGAGAGAGUUCAAGAGUACGUGAAACCGCUAGGAGGGAAGCGGAUGACGCCACAAGGUUGCCGCUUGGAUUCAGUUCGAUGUAUUUUGCCAAGGUGGGUCUGUCGCAUUUGCUGCGAGGCAGGUGGGCAGGUUUACUUAGGUGAGGUACAUCGGGCGCAUUUCUGAGCGUGCGAUGAGCCACGACCAGUUCGUAAGCUCCUAGAGGUGGGUGAGAUCGGUGCACAAAUGGGGUUCAACUUGGGCUUCAUUUUGUGUCUGGUAACGCUCAUUCAUAGGUAUGGUUAUGGACUGAGGACAGCAGCUCUCAGCUGAAGCGGUAUAAGCCACUUGCGGGGCAUGCUGCGGGCUCGGGUUGGGUGCAGGUGUUGGGGACUGCAUUGCAGUGCUUGAUAUCUGUGUUUGACCGUCUGGGUUCGCGCUUGCCGAGAGCGUUUUUACGCCGCUGUUCUGUGGCCAGUUGGCUACUCAUCCGUCCCGUCUUGAAACACGGACCAAGGAGUUGAACAUGCAGGCGAGUCUGAGGGUAGAGCAAAACCCGAAGGCGAAGUGAAAGCAAAGUCUGCCGUAAGGUAGAUGUGAUGGGAUCCCGGAUGGCUUAACGGUCACCGGGCGCACCAUCGUCUCGUUGCGUUCUCGUGUAGAUGCGGCGACGACUGAGCCUGCACGCUCGGACCCGAAAGAUGGUGACCUAUGCCGGAGCAGGGCGAAAUCAGAGGAAACUCUGGUGGAAGCCCGAAGCGAUUCUAACGUGCAAAUUGAUCGUCUGACUUCGGUAUAGGGGCGAAAGACUAAUCGAACCAUCUAGUAGCUGGUUCCCUCCGAAGUUUCCCUCAGGAUAGCUGGCGCUCGUGAUCGGAGGCAGUAGUACCCGGUAAAGCGAAUGAUUAGAGUGUUUUGGGUCGAAACGAU
rnacentral:rRNA from 1 species